rnacentral:rRNA from 1 species
CAAUAGCGUAUAUUAAAGUUGUUGCAGUUAAAAAGCUCGUAGUUGGAUUUCUGGGAGGGUGCUAAUGUCCGCCGUAGCGCGUGUGCAGCAGCGCCCUUCCAUCCUUCUGUUAACGCCUCUUGGCAUUUGUUUGCUGGUGGCGGGCUCAGAUAUUUUACCUUGAGAAAAUUAGAGUGUUCAGGCAGGCUAGGCCGGAAUAUAUUAGCAUGGAAUAAUGGAAUAGGACUUUGGUUCUAUUUUGUUGGUUUCUAGGACCGAAGUAAUGAUUAAUAGGGACAGUGGGGGCAUUCAUAUUCCAUUGUCAGAGGUGAAAUUCUUGGAUUAACGGAAGAUGAACUUCUGCGAAAGCAUCUGCCAAGGAUGUUUUCAUUGAUCAAGAACGAAAGUUAGGGGAUCGAAGACGAUUAGAUACCA